rnacentral:rRNA from 1 species
UUGACAUCGCCUGACAGCUCAUGAAAGUUGAGAAGUUACCCUUCGGGGUACAGGUUAGACAGGUGGUGCAUGGUUGUCGUCAGCUCGUGUCGUGAGAUGUUGGGUUAAGUCCCGCAACGAGCGCAACCCUACGAAUAGUUGCCAGCACUAAAGGUGGGCACUCUAGACGAACUGCCGUUGACAAAACGGAGGAAGGUGGGGAUGACGUCAAAUCAUCAUGCCCCUUAUACCCUGGGCUACACACGUGCUACAAUGGUGCGAACAGAGGGCAGCACCCUGCGAAGGGGAGCGAAUCCCUAAAAGCGCAUCACAGUUCGGAUUGCAGGCUGCAACUCGCCUGCAUGAAGUCGGAAUCGCUAGUAAUCGCAGGUCAGCAUACUCGCGGUCGAAUACGUUCCGGGCCUU